rnacentral:ribozyme from 1 species
UCAUCUAUCACAUUGUUUAUGUAGUCGUUCUCUUGCCUAAGAGAAGGAAGGAAGCCGAAUAUCAAAAGUUGGUGAAUUAGAGAUCGACAGAGAGAAAGAUAAAAGAAG